AGCGACCGUAGACGUUUCCUGUGUGAAAGGCGCUGUUCUCGUGACUGUAGGGAACAUUUUCUCUGUGAAAGGUUCCGUUCUCAAUAGUUCCUGUAUAGCAACAUUGAGAUAUUAGCAGUGUCCUCCGAAAAAGAUCUGAACUGUCUGUCACACUGAAAACUGCACUCCUUCAUGGGGCCAAAGGUGCCGCAGAUGUUACCGAGCUAAGCAGUUCAUACUCUGGAGCUGGGUUGCUGGCCUAUGUCUCUCCCAGCAUGGCACCGUCGCAGCGGUUAAAAUGAGCACUCAACAGAUGCAGCCGAGAAGGGAGCUGGGAUCCACGAACAGUUUAGAAAGCUGGUUAUGGAGGCCAUGGGGAGCCAGCUACGGAGCAGCUCGGGAAGCAGCAGUACUUCCAACUUAACCGCUGUCCUUUUGGAAAACUCAGACUUGGAACCAACAUUUAUAGG